rnacentral:misc_RNA from 1 species
UAUUCAACCAACUCAUAUUCCUCUUUUUUUCUUCCUCUCAAGGCUCAUUUUAAUUUUUCUUUUGCUCUUCUCAUGUCUUUCAAAUUCAGAGGGCCAAAUGCUUCUUCUGGAAUGGGUGUGGCUGAUCACGGCAAAAAUGCAUUCUUGGAGUUGAAGAGGAAGAAAGUUCAUAGAUACGUGAUUUUCAAAAUCGAUGAAAAGAAAAAGGAGGUUGUUGUUGAGAAAACUGGCAGCCCUGCUGAAACCUUUGAUGACUUUACUGCUUCUUUGCCAGAAAAUGAUUGCCGAUAUGCG